AUGACGAAAUGGAGAGCUUCUCGAAGUAUUCCACUGCUAAACUACAACAGGAUUUACCUCCACCGACGAUUCCAUUUCACUACAUUUCUUCGCAGCGCCCGACCUGCUCAGCCGCAAGCUUCCUUCCGUGGCGGCGCCAAUAACAGCAGUGGAAGUUCGCAAGGCAAUUCUUUUUUAGUGCCUGGUGCAACUGUGGCAACGAUACUUAUGCUUGGUGCACUUCAUGUCCGUCGUAUGUAUGAUGAUAAACAGAUUGAAGAGGCCAAGGCUAAGGGUAUCGAAUCAGAGUUCCACCCGGAUGUGAAGGCUAGAUUCUUGAGAUUGCUACUCUUGCGCUCUAUUUCACGAUUUUGGGGCUCCUUGACUGGUGUGGAACUUCCCAUUUGGUUACGGCCAUAUGUAUAUAACGCAUGGGCUCGAGCUUUUCACUCUAACUUGGAAGAAGCUCAACUACCAUUGGAAGAAUAUGCUAGCUUAAGAGAAUUUUUUGUUCGCAAAUUGAAAGAGAGCUCCAGGCCUAUUGAUUCUGACCCUUAUUGUUUGGUCAGUCCUGUAGAUGGGACAGUUCUAAGAUUUGGUGAGUUAAGAGGACCAGGGGCUAUGAUUGAGCAAGUAAAGGGAUGUUCUUAUUCUGCUUCUUCCCUUCUUGGUGCAAACUCGCAUCUUCCCAUGAUUGCAGCAGAAGAUGCUAAUGAAUAUAGUGGCAAGGAAGAGAAAACUGUGAGAGAUGUGAACCAGAAGUCAUGGUGGAGUAUUUCCUUCUUGGCUUCUCCUAAAGUUAGAGAUAAUGCAUCAUCCUGCCCACAGAAAGGCCUCUUCUAUUGUGUAAUUUACUUGAAGCCUGGAGACUACCAUCGGAUACAUUCUCCAGUUGAUUGGAAUCUUCUCCUUCGACGGCAUUUUUCCGGCAAGCUAUAAUUUUGUCAUCUCUUUCCAAUGAAUGAGCGAGCAACGAGAACCAUCAGAAACUUGUAUGUUGAAAAUGAAAGGGUGUGUGAAGGUUUUCGCUAGAUCCAGGAAAGGAAGAGGACGCUUGCAUGGUCCUAGG